rnacentral:rRNA from 1 species
UACGGGGGGGGCAAGCGUUGUCCGGAAUUAUUGGGCGUAAAGAGCUCGUAGGCGGUUUGUCGCGUCUGCUGUGAAAACCCAGGGCUUAACCCUGGGCCUGCAGUGGGUACGGGCAAACUAGAGUGCGGUAGGGGAGAUCGGAAUUCCUGGUGUAGCGGUGAAAUGCGCAGAUAUCAGGAGGAACACCGGUGGCGAAGGCGGAUCUCUGGGCCGUAACUGACGCUGAGGAGCGAAAGCAUGGGUAGCGAACAGG